rnacentral:rRNA from 1 species
AACGAACGCUGGCGGCAUGCCUAACACAUGCAAGUCGAACGAGACCUUCGGGUCUAGUGGCGCACGGGUGCGUAACGCGUGGGAACCUGCCCUUAGGUUCGGAAUAACUCAGAGAAAUUUGAGCUAAUACCGGAUAAUGUCUUCGGACCAAAGAUUUAUCGCCUUUGGAUGGGCCCGCGUAGGAUUAGCUUGUUGGUGGGGUAAUGGCCUACCAAGGCGACGAUCCUUAGCUGGUCUGAGAGGAUGAUCAGCCACACUGGGACUGAGACACGGCCCAGACUCCUACGGGAGGCAGCAGUGGGGAAUAUUGGACAAUGGGCGAAAGCCUGAUCUAGCAAUGCCGCGUGAGUGAUGAAGGCCUUAGGGUUGUAAAGCUCUUUUACCAGGGAUGAUAAUGACAGUACCUGGAGAAUAAGCGCCGGCUAACUCCGUG